CACACAUCACACUGCGUGGCUAGGACGAUGCCUUCAAAGUCAGCAAUAAUUUGUUUUGCUUAUUAAAAUCAAAGAAUUUAUUUGCAAGACAUCUGGUAAAAAGAAGCACUCUGCGGAUUGCACAUUUUGCAAAUCAUCUCUUACUGAAGCGUCUGGCACGACUUCAGAUUUCUAUUGACAUGUUCAAAGAAAACAAAGAAUAAGAGAGUACCAAAGAGAGCAGCAACCAGCAGAUGCUGCACAGCCCAGCAUAGCAGGAUUUGCAAGACCAGAAUUGGCAAAACAAGCAGUGCAACCUUAUGAUGCAAAUUCUCCAAGACAAUAAGAAAUUCAUAAUGCCAUCAUUAAGGAUCUGCUCAUUGGCUGCACUUUACCUCUGUCAAUUGUUGAAAAUCAGCAUUUCAGGCAUUUCUUGAAAGUAAUGGACAACAAAUACACUCCCAUUGCAAGGAAAACAAUCACUGAAAAACACAUUCCUUUGUUGGCUUAUCAGGUUAAGGAUUCAAUUAAAAGAAAGCUCCAGACCCAAUCAUCUGUGUCCAUAACAGCUGACAUAGAGUCUGAUCGAACCAUGUGGUCCUUCUUCGGUGUUACAGCCCAUGGAUUAAACCAAAAGGAAAAUCAGCUGGAGUCCUUUCUUUUACACACUAGGAGGUUUUGUGGCAGACACAAUGGAGACAACAUAGCCAUGGCAUUUGACGAGAUCAUUGAUGAAUAUAACAUAGCAAGUAAAGUCAGGUACAUUAUUACUGAUAAUGCAGCCAAUAUGAAGUGUGCAUUCAAAGUCAAGCUACCACAAGAAGAGCAGCACAGUGAUGGCAGAGAUGCAGAAGAUGGAAAUUUAGAUGAUGAGAGUCUUUGGCAGGAUGUGACCUGGGAAGACGAGACUAUCCUGGUGAGAACAAGACAAAGGUUGUCAUGUUUUGCACAUUCUCUGCAAUUAGUUGUGCAUGAUGGAAUGAAAGAAGCCAAGGCCUUUUCUUCAGCACUUGCCAAAAUGUCAAAAUUCACCUCAUUACUUCACACUAGUACUCAGUUUAAAGAGCGAUUUGAGGCUGCAUUUGGGACAGAUAGAUCAAUUCCUGCAGCUACAUCCACACGCUGAAACAGUACAUUCAACCAGAUACAGGCCCUUACAGCAUUUGACCAUAGGGCUCUCACACAAAUCAGACUUGCAACAUGUUCUUUUUUCAGUUUGUGAAUGGAAUCAACUGAAGGAUUUAGGUUCUGUUCUCUUUCCUUUUGCGGAAGCAACAGACCUUACAGAGGGUGAGAAAAUGAUCACUAUUAGUAUGGUGGUCCCCACUGUACUGGACUUAAACACUCAUCUGCUCCAAAUAUCAGAGUCAAGAAGUCAUUGCUGGCCAUUAGCCACAGCCCUUCAGCAAUCACUUUUAAAGAGAUUCUCUGGGAUCUUUGCGAGAACCAAAAUGGUUGAGCAAAAUGGGAAAGAGGACCAGUUCAACCAUAAUGUCUAUUUCUUGUCUAUUUCUUGGCUACAAUGCUUGAUACUCAGUUUGGCCUUAACUGGGUUGAUCUAGAUGUAGCCAACAGUGAGAAUCCAGAUUCGGUGAAGAAAUUCAGAGAGGAUCUGAAAAGAUCACUUAUGGAUACUUUGGCUGCAGAGGUUGAGGCCACAGCAGAUGGAGACGUGCUGCAUUCUGAAGUUAACAGUGAUGCUGAUGCAACCACAGAUUCUCCUCUUGGCAAAUGCCCACGACUUCUAGCUCACUAUUGAGCCCACAAGCACCUGAGCCACUCAGCUAAGGAUGCAUUGCAUUCAAUUCUACUCCGAGUACUCUCUCAUCCAAUAUAAAUGUGGGGGAGAGGCAUUAAAUAAUUUAAAUGUCAGCUGGAACUGGAGGACACAAUUUAGUGUGAUACAAUAACAAAUCAGGUUAAUUUGUAUUUUCAUACACUUGUAAUAUAAUAAAAGUUC